rnacentral:rRNA from 1 species
CAAUCGAACCUGGAGAUAGCUGGUUCUCUCCGAAAUAGCUUUAGGGCUAGCCUCAAGUGAUGAUUAUUGGAGGUAGAGCACUGUUUGGACGAGGGGCCCUCUCGGGUUACCGAAUUCAGACAAACUCCGAAUGCCAAUUAAUUUAACUUGGGAGUCAGAACAUGGGUGAUAAGGUCCGUGUUCGAAAGGGAAACAGCCCAGACCACCAGCUAAGGUCCCAAAAUAUAUGUUAAGUGGAAAAGGAUGUGGCGUUGCCCAGACAACUAGGAUGUUGGCUUAGAAGCAGCCAUCAUUUAAAGAGUGCGUAAUAGCUCACUAGUCGAGUGACACUGCGCCGAAAAUGUACCGGGGCUAAACAUAUUACCGAAGCUGUGGAUUGUCCUUUGGACAAUGGUAGGAGAGCGUUCUAAGGGCGUUGAAGCAUGAUCGUAAGGACAUGUGGAGCGCUUAGAAGUGAGAAUGCCGGUGUGAGUAGCGAAAGACGGGUGAGAAUCCCGUCCACCGAUUGACUAAGGUUUCCAGAGGAAGGCUCGUCCGCUCUGGGUUAGUCGGGUCCUAAGCUGAGGCCGACAGGCGUAGGCGAUGGAUAACAGGUUGAUAUUCCUGUACCACCUAUAAUCGUUUUAAUCGAUGGGGGGACGCAGUAGGAUAGGCGAAGCGUGCGAUUGGAUUGCACGUCUAAGCAGUAAGGCUGAGUAUUAGGCAAAUCCGGUACUCGUUAAGGCUGAGCUGUGAUGGGGAGAAGACAUUGAGUCUUCGAGUCGUUGAUUUCACACUGCCGAGAAAAGCCUCUAGAUAGAAAAUAGGUGCCCGUACCGCAAACCGACACAGGUAGUCAAGAUGAGAAUUCUAAGGUGAGCGAGCGAACUCUCGUUAAGGAACUCGGCAAAAUGACCCCGUAACUUCGGGAGAAGGGGUGCUCUUUAGGGUUAACGCCCAGAAGAGCCGCAGUGAAUAGGCCCAAGCGACUGUUUAUCAAAAACACAGGUCUCUGCUAAACCGUAAGGUGAUGUAUAGGGGCUGACGCCUGCCCGGUGCUGGAAGGUUAAGAGGAGUGGUUAGCUUCUGCGAAGCUACGAAUCGAAGCCCCAGUAAACGGCGGCCGUAACUAUAACGGUCCUAAGGUAGCGAAAUUCCUUGUCGGGUAAGUUCCGACCCGCACGAAAGGCGUAACGAUUUGGGCACUGUCUCAACGAGAGACUCGGUGAAAUCAUAGUACCUGUGAAGAUGCAGGUUACCCGCGACAGGACGGAAAGACCCCGUGGAGCUUUACUGUAGCCUGAUAUUGAAAUUCGGCACAGCUUGUACAGGAUAGGUAGGAGCCUUUGAAACGUGAGCGCUAGCUUACGUGGAGGCGCUGGUGGGAUACUACCCUAGCUGUGUUGGCUUUCUAACCCGCACCACUUAUCGUGGUGGGAGACAGUGUCAAGCGGGCAGUUUGACUGGGGCGGUCGCCUCCUAAAAGGUAACGGAGGCGCUCAAAGGUUCCCUCAGAAUGGUUGGAAAUCAUUCAUAGAGUGUAAAGGCAUAAGGGAGCUUGACUGCGAGACCUACAAGUCGAGCAGGGUCGAAAGACGGACUUAGUGAUCCGGUGGUUCCGCAUGGAAGGGCCAUCGCUCAACGGAUAAAAGCUACCCCGGGGAUAACAGGCUUAUCUCCCCCAAGAGUUCACAUCGACGGGGAGGUUUGGCACCUCGAUGUCGGCUCAUCGCAUCCUGGGGCUGUAGUCGGUCCCAAGGGUUGGGCUGUUCGCCCAUUAAAGCGGUACGCGAGCUGGGUUCAGAACGUCGUGAGACAGUUCGGUCCCUAUCCGUCGUGGGCGUAGGAAAUUUGAGAGGAGCUGUCCUUAGUACGAGAGGACCGGGAUGGACAUACCUCUGGUGUACCAGUUGUCGUGCCAACGGCAUAGCUGGGUAGCUAUGUGUGGACGGGAUAAGUGCUGAAAGCAUCUAAGCAUGAAGCCCCCCUCAAGAUGAGAUUUCCCAACUUCGGUUAUAAGAUCCCUCAAAGAUGAUGAGGUUAAUAGGUUCGAGGUGGAAGCAUGGUGACAUGUGGAGCUGACGAAUACUAAUCGAUCGAAGACUUAAUCAA